rnacentral:tRNA from 1 species
CAAGAUGGUUGAAAUAAUAAACGAUAAACUGUAAAUUUAUUUAUGAGUAAUACUCUCUUGUA